UAUGCUUAGCCGUAAACCCCUUUCACCCUCCCCCCGCCAGGGAAUUACGAGCCAUGCUUAAAACCCAAAGGACUUGACGGUGCCCCAUCCAACUAGAGGAGCCUGUUCUAUAAUUGAUGAUCCCCGCUUUACCUUACCCCUACUAGUCCAUCAGCCUGUAUACCUCCGUCGCAAGCCUACCGUAUGAACGUCAAACAGUAAGCUUAAUUAUUCCCCCAUAAACACGUCAGGUCAAGGUGCAGCCCACGUAGUGGAAAGUAAUGGGCUACAAUUUCUAUGCUAGAACAUACAGAAGGUGGCACGAAAUUGCUGCUAGAAGGCGGAUUUAGUAGUAAGAAGAAAAUAUAGAGUUCUUCUUAAUCCGGACCUGGGUCGCGUACAAACCGCCCGUCACCCUCUUCAACAACCCCCCCCCAGCCUCCCUAAAAAAUAUUAUUCACAAGAAGAGGUAAGUCGUAACAUGGUAAGCAUACUGGAAAGUGUGCUUGGAACAA
rnacentral:rRNA from 1 species